GGGGGCGUAGCUCAGAUGGUAGAGCGCUCUCUUAGCAUGCGAGAGGUACGGGGAUCGAUACCCCGCGCCUCUA
rnacentral:tRNA from 1 species